ACACACUGCUGCUUGCACUGGUGCCCCUUGUGCCAUGAGCACAGGGAGAUGAGGGAUAACCCCAAAGAUGUUGGGUUUAGUCACACUACAGUGUAACACUGGUCAAUUGAAGCUGCUGCUCCACUGUUAUUAACAGCCGUUAGCGGCGAUUGUUGGUCGUUGGGAGAAGGUGAAAUCUAUUGCUGAGCUACCUCAACUCUCUUCAGAACACAAGGCAGCCAGCAACCACUGAAAGCCAAUUGCCGUGUACACUCAAAAUGUUGCAGAGUGCAGGAAGUUAUGGAUUUUCUGAGUUCUGAAAGCGAAUUAAGAGUGCUGCAAGUCAGAAAUGACGUUACACGAGGAUGUGUCUUCGGGGCCAAGGAAGCGAAGGACGACACAUUUUGUUGUAUAGUUCCUAACUAGUAAUUAUGUAAAGGCUAGUAGUAUUGCAUUCGUUUAUUCUUUUUGCUCAUUAUUGCAAUAAGAAGCCCAAGCUGAAGAGAAAUAACAGGUUGAGUG